CACUGGUGUUCGGGUUGUCAUGCCAAUGGCACUGCCCGGUAGCUAAAUGCGGAAGAGAUAAGUGCUGAAAGCAUCUAAGCACGAAACUUGCCCCGAGAUGAGUUCUCCCUGACUCCCUGAGAGUCCUGAAGGAACGUUGAAGACGACGACGUUGAUAGGCCGGGUGUGUAAGCGCAGCGAUGCGUUGAGCUAACCGGUACUAAUGAACCGUGAGGCUUAACCUUACAACGCCGAAGGUGUUU
rnacentral:rRNA from 1 species